GACGAACGCUGGCGGCGUGCCUAAUACAUGCAAGUAGAACGCUGAAGGAGGAGCUUGCUUCUCUGGAUGAGUUGCGAACGGGUGAGUAACGCGUAGGUAACCUGCCUGGUAGCGGGGGAUAACUAUUGGAAACGAUAGCUAAUACCGCAUAAUAGUAGAUGUUGCAUGACAUUUGCUUAAAAGGUGCAAUUGCAUCACUACCAGAUGGACUUGCGUUGUAUUAGCUAGUUGGUGGGGUAACGGCUCACCAAGGCGACGAUACAUAGCCGACCUGAGAGGGUGAUCGGCCACACUGGGACUGAGACACGGCCCAGACUCCUACGGGAGGCAGCAGUAGGGAAUCUUCGGCAAUGGACGGAAGUCUGACCGAGCAACGCCGCGUGAGUGAAGAAGGUUUUCGGAUCGUAAAGCUCUGUUGUAAGAGAAGAACGAGUGUGAGAGUGGAAAGUUCACACUGUGACGGUAUCUUACCAGAAAGGGACGGCUAACUACGU
rnacentral:rRNA from 1 species